rnacentral:miRNA from 1 species
AAGUUUCUCUCAGGAUAGCUGGCACUUUCGCAUGACCAACCAUGCAUUUUAUCCAGGAAAGCGAAGAUUAGAGGUCUUGGAGCCGAAAC